rnacentral:rRNA from 1 species
GACGAACGCUGGCGGCGUGCUUAACACAUGCAAGUCGUGCGAGAAAAUUCCCUUCGGGGGAUGAGUACAGCGGCGCACGGGUGAGUAACGCGUAAGUUAUCUGCCCCUUGGUCUGGCAUAACCCCGGGAAACCGGGGCUAAUAGCAGAUUAUAUCGUAAGAUCAAAGCCUUCGGGCGCCAAGGGAUGAGCUUGCGUCCCAUUAGCUAGUUGGCGGGGUAAUGGCCCACCAAGGCUACGAUGGGUAGCUGGUCUGAGAGGAUGAUCAGCCACAUUGGGACUGAGACACGGCCCAGACUCCUACGGGAGGCAGCAGUGAGGAAUAUUGCGCAAUGGACGAAAGUCUGACGCAG